CCUGCCAGAGCCCCGGGAGCUGCCCUGCCAAGACCUAUCCUGGGAGAGCUAUUGAAAGAGCCUCGAGAAAAGGGUCAGGGGACCCAGGGGAAGAGACCGAAGAGGUGGUAUAAUUGAGCCCAAGAGAAGUGACUUGCCCAAGGUUCAGCACUCUCCAAGAGGAAAUAGCAAAGCCAGAAUUAGGCUUAGAUUUUCUGCUCACCAGUCCAGAAACCCGCCUCACCAUGUUGCUCCAAACACAUUUUGAGGCUUUUAUCGGGACCAGAGAAGAUGUGAUGAUGUUGGAGCACAAAGACAUUGAACUGCUGGCUGAUGUCACGAGUAGCAGAGGGAGAGCGCACAGCAGGCCUCUCCCUGCCCCGGGGCCAAGCUUCUCCUCUGGUCCACCCACCGCCUCCCAUCUUCUCCAGAUCCUUCCCAUCCUCCGAGGAGGCCGCCCUCCAGCCCCGCUCUCGGAACACCUGCCCCUCGGUGGGGGACACUCACCAGAUCCGCUUCACAUGUGCAGCCCCUGGAGACACACCACAGAUGCACGUGGAGUCUCAGGGCCCCUUAGACACCAGGACCGGCCCCACGUGCCUCAGCGGCCUGUCAGCUGGUCUGUUGGUGUCUGGCAUACCUUAAGAAUGAAGCGAUUAUGUUUCCUCUUAAUCACGUGCCAGGGCCUGAGUUGGGUGUGACUGAGCGCAAAGUCAGGAGAUCGAAGACAGUGUUGGAAGUGGGAAUAAUCGUGAGUAGAUAUGAACAAUUGUCAUUCCUUUAGCCCUUUACAGUUUGUAUUUUAACACUCAUUAUACAUACCCCUUAAUCUUCACACUAAGCCCAUGAGUGCAUAUUAUUAUCAUCCCUGUUUUAGCCAUGGGAAACUAGGCUCAGAGAGUUCCAAUGGUGGAUCUGGGGGUCACACCUGGGGCUUCUGGCCCCAAAUUGUAUCUUUACCUCACCCUCUGUCCUACACUGUCUGGGCUGGGGAAGGGGACCGACUGGACUAAAAGGGAAAAAGUGCUCUGGAGAGCAAAGGAAAAUUAUGAUACUGAGUUAAGACUGAGCCAGACUGAGGAGGUCCAGUGCAGAUUUCACGUGGAG
rnacentral:lncRNA from 1 species